GGGAGGGGGGGCAUGAAACAGGAAGCACUACGCAUCACGCAGUGGCAACAAACAUCGCACAGGGAGGUCAGAUAUUCCCAGGACCGGUGACGGCCCCAGGUGGCUGCUGGGAGUUGUAGUGCGCACCCACCGGCGCUCUUGUCCAGGAAGUAGGCCAGCAGGCAGCGCAUGACGGCCUGGUGGCAGAUGACCAGAACGUUCUCCUGUCGCUCCAUCUCCAUGAUCACCGGCUCCACGCGCUGAACCAGGUCCUGGUACGACUACACGCGCACACACGCACGCGCACACACAGGCAUGUUAUUCUGGCUGUGCUUUUAGAUGUGUUAUUCGAAAAAGGUCUUGCCAUAUCUUAAGAAGAUAUUGCAUCAUUACUGAUAUGGUGUUUUGAUUUCAGUUUCAUGUUUAGAUAAAACGAUAUUGUGUAUCUAAAUAACAUUCCGGCAUUUGUGUGUGUGUGUGUGUGUGUGUG